rnacentral:rRNA from 1 species
AUUGAACGCUGGCGGCAGGCCUAACACAUGCAAGUCGAACGAGUGGCGGACGUGUGAGUAAUGUCUGGGAAACCGCCUGAUGGAGGGGGAUAACCACUGGAAACGGUAGCCAAUACCGCAAACCAUAGUAUGCGCCCAGGUGGGAUUGGCUGGUAGGUGGGGUAACCGCUCCCCUAGGCGAAGCUCUCUAGCUGGUCUGAGAGAAUGACCAUCCACACUGGAACUGGGACACGGUCCAGACUCCGACGGGAGGCAGCAUGGGGGAAUAUUGGACAAUGGGGGCAAGCCUGAUGCAGACAUGCGGCGUGUAUGAAGAAGGCCUUCGGGUUGUAAAGUACUUUCAGCGAGGAGGCGUUACUCGCAGAAGAAGCACCGGCUAACUCCGUGCCAGCAGCCGCGGUAAUUC